AUGGCCUGCAGCACCACCCCUGAUGUCUCCUUUGCGAUCAAGACCCGGAGACCAUCCAACACCUGCUCCUGGCAUGUCCAUUCGCUAAGCAGACUUGGCGCAUCACCCUGGACUGGGCGUGUAUACGUGCCCAACCACCAGCCAACGAACCUACCAUGUUGGACUGGUGGUUGUGUGCGAAGGCACAGACCCCUCCUACACUAUGCAAAGCUCUGCAACCAAUCACACUGCUCGUCCCCUGGAUGA
rnacentral:rRNA from 1 species